UCUGGGACAAGCCCUGGAAACGGGGUCUAAUACCGGAUAACACCGGCUUCCGCAUGGAAGCUGGUUAAAAGCUCCGGCGGUGAAGGAUGAGCCCGCGGCCUAUCAGCUUGUUGGUGGGGUAAUGGCCCACCAAGGCGACGACGGGUAGCCGGCCUGAGAGGGCGACCGGCCACACUGGGACUGAGACACGGCCCAGACUCCUACGGGAGGCAGCAGUGGGGAAUAUUGCACAAUGGGCGAAAGCCUGAUGCAGCGACGCCGCGUGAGGGAUGACGGCCUUCGGGUUGUAAACCUCUUUCAGCAGGGAAGAAGCGAAAGUGACGGUACCUGCAGAAGAAGCGCCGGCUAACUACGUGCCAGCAGCCGCGGUAAUACGUAGGGCGCAAGCGUUGUCCGGAAUUAUUGGGCGUAAAGAGCUCGUAGGCGGCUUGUCACGUCGGGUGUGAAAGCCCGGGGCUUAACCCCGGGUCUGCAUCCGAUACGGGCAGGCUAGAGUGUGGUAGGGGAGAUCGGAAUUCCUGGUGUAGCGGUGAAAUGCGCAGAUAUCAGGAGGAACACCGGUGGCGAAGGCGGAUCUCUGGGCCAUUACUGACGCUGAGGAGCGAAAGCGUGGGGAGCGAACAGGAUUAGAUACCCUGGUAGUCCACGCCGUAAACGUUGGGAACUAGGUGUUGGCGACAUUCCACGUCGUCGGUGCCGCAGCUAACGCAUUAAGUUCCCCGCCUGG
rnacentral:rRNA from 1 species